AAUUGGUUUAGUUAGGAGGCAUAGAUCAAUCUGGUAUUUUCAAUAUUGUUUUGAUCUUAAUGUCAUUUGAGGAGGAGCUCUGCUUUCCUGUUUUUCUGCUUCUCCCAAACAGCCUCAUACAUUA